rnacentral:rRNA from 1 species
AUGAUUACCUGGAUUGUUUAUGACCAUGUGCCCUUGCUCCUCUCUUCUGAGAAUGACCGUCCUCAUCAACCUCAUUUCCGGUUUGAGGAAUUCUGGCUCAACCAGCCCGGUUUUGUUGAGGUCGUCAGCACCCGAUGGGCUGAGGCCCGUGCCGCCGCCUCACGCCCCUUCUCGGUGAUUGACACCAUCCACUUUUGUGCUAAACGCGCUCGCCAGUUUAUGAAGGGCUAGGGUGCGAAUCUUGGCCGUGCCGUUCGCGAGCAUCAGAAGGACAUCCUGGUCUUCGUCCAGGCUCUUGACCUCUGGGCUGACACUUCUGGCCUUUCCCCGGACGAGUGGCUCCUUCGGUACGACCUUGAGGAUCAGCUCUCGGUCAUCUACACGGACGAGGAGGCGUAUUUGCGUCAACGGGGAACCCAUCGAUGGGUCCUUAAGGGUGAUGCUAAUACGGCCUACUUCUAGGCCAUUGCUAAUGGCCGUCGAUGCCGCAAUAGGAUCCCCCUACUCUGGGACGGAGACUCCCUGCUCCAACACCCAGAUGAGAUCCAUGCCCAUGUAGAUGGCUUCUAUAAAGCCCUUUUCUCUCCCUCCUCUCGGGGAGGGGUAAGCCUUGACCCGGAUAUUUGGCAAGGCAGCGACCGCGUCUCUGCUGCAACCAAUGACGCCCUCAUGGCCCCCUUUAGUGAGGCGGAGAUCUGGGCCGCAAUCAAAGGCAUGAACCCCUCAUCCGCCCUGGGCCUGGACGGUGUCCCGGUUAAGUUCUUCUAGACCUUCUGGCUGGUCAUUAAACCGGAGGUGUUAGCGAUAUUUUAGGAAUUCUACGUUACGGCGAUUGACUUGGCCCGGCUGAACUAUGAGAUCAUCACCCUCAUCCCUAAGGUAGCCAGGGCCUCAGACAUCCGUCAGUUCCGCCCUAUUACGGUGAUCAAUGUGAUCUUCCGUAUUCUGGCGAAGGGGUACGCCAAUAGGGUGACCCUCCUAGCUGACCAAAUCACAUACAGGAAUCAAUCGACUUUCAUCAAGGGCCGAUGCAUCCUGGAUGGGGUUUUGGUGUUCCAUGAAGUCCUUCAUGAGGUCGCAUCCGGCAUCAGUAGGCGGUCUUCCUGA